rnacentral:snRNA from 1 species
AAAUCACUCGAACCCCGGAGGUGGAGGUUGCAGUGAGCUGGGAUUGUGCCACUGUGCUCCAGCCUGGGUGACAGAG